rnacentral:rRNA from 1 species
GACGAACGCUGGCGGCGUGCUUAACACAUGCAAGUCGAACGGUGACGCGCUUUCCUUUUUGGCGGGCGUGGAUGAGUGGCGAACGGGUGAGUAACACGUGAGUAACCUGCUUCCUCCUUCUGGAUAACCGCAUGAAAGUGUGGCUAAUACGGGAUACUACGGGCCUGUCGCAUCGUGGGUUCGGCAAAGCUUUCGUUUCGGUGGGGGCUGGGCUCGCGGCCUAUCAGGUUGUUGGUGGGGUGACGGCCUACCAAGGCGCUGAGGGGUAGCCGGCAUGAGAGGGUCGGCCGUCACAGUGGGGAGGAGACGUGGCGAAGACUCCGACGGGAAGCAGCAGGGGGGAAUAGAGCACGGGGGGAAGAAUGAUGAUGCAGUGACGCGGCGGGGGAGAAGGAGGUCUGCGGGUUGUGAACCUCUUUCGCCAGUGAAGCGGGCCUGCCUCAUUUGUGGGUGUGUUGACGGUAGCUGGAGAAGAAGCGCCGGCUAACUACGUG